AUUCUUGUAGCUCAAGGGUAGAGCAUUUACCUUACAACCAAGUAGUUGUAAGUUCAAAUCUUGUCAGGAGUA
rnacentral:tRNA from 1 species